rnacentral:rRNA from 1 species
GAGACAGACUCGUUAUAGGGUCAAGCGAACAAGUGCAUGUGGUGGAUGCCUUGGCGAUCACAGGCGAUGAAGGACGCGGUAGCCUGCGAAAAGCUACGGGGAGCUGGCAAACGAGCUUUGAUCCGUAGAUGUCCGAAUGGGGAAACCCACUCCUUUUGGAGUAUCCAUGGCUGAAUACAUAGGCCAUGCGAAGCGAACGCGGUGAACUGAAACAUCUAAGUAACCGCAGGAAAAGAAAUCAACCGAGAUUCCCAAAGUAGUGGCGAGCGAAAUGGGAUGAGCCUUGCACUCUUUAUUUGUAUUGUUAGCCGAACGCUCUGGAAAGUGCGGCCAUAGCAGGUGAUAGCCCUGUAGGCGAAAACAGUAUGAAAGAACUAGGUGUGCGACAAGUAGGGCGGGACACGUGAAAUCCUGUCUGAAGAUGGGGGGACCAUCCUCCAAGGCUAAAUACUCGUGAUCGACCGAUAGUGAACCAGUACCGUGAGGGAAAGGCGAAAAGAACCCCGGGAGGGGAGUGAAAUAGAUCCUGAAACCGCAUGCAUACAAACAGUCGGAGCCUCGUAAGGGGUGACGGCGUACCUUUUGUAUAAUGGGUCAGCGACUUACGUUCAGUAGCAAGCUUAACCGUAUAGGGCAGGCGUAGCGAAAGCGAGUCCGAAUAGGGCGUUCAGUUGCUGGGCGUAGACCCGAAACCAGGUGAUCUAUCCAUGGCCAGGAUGAAGGUGCGGUAACACGUACUGGAGGUCCGAACCCACUAACGUUGAAAAGUUAGGGGAUGAGCUGUGGAUAGGGGUGAAAGGCUAAACAAACCUGGAAAUAGCUGGUUCUCUCCGAAAACUAUUUAGGUAGUGCCUCGUGUCUCACCUUCGGGGGUAGAGCACUGUCAUGGUUGGGGGGUCUAUUGCAGAUUACCCCGCCAUAGCAAACUCCGAAUACCGAAGAGUGCAAUCACGGGAGACAGACAUCGGGUGCUAACGUCCGGUGUCAAGAGGGAAACAACCCAGACCGCCAGCUAAGGUCCCCAAAUAUAGCUAAGUGGGAAACGAAGUGGGAAGGCUAAAACAGUCAGGAGGUUGGCUUAGAAGCAGCCACCCUUUAAAGAAAGCGUAAUAGCUCACUGAUCGAGUCGUCCUGCGCGGAAGAUGUAACGGGGCUAAGCUAUAUACCGAAGCUGCGGAUGCGUGCUUAGCACGCAUGGUAGGAGAGCGUUCCGUAAGCCUGCGAAGGUGCCUUGUAAAGGGUGCUGGAGGUAUCGGAAGUGCGAAUGCUGACAUGAGUAGCGAUAAAGGGGGUGAAAGGCCCCCUCGCCGUAAGCCCAAGGUUUCCUACGCAACGUUCAUCGGCGUAGGGUGAGUCGGCCCCUAAGGCGAGGCAGAAAUGCGUAGCUGAUGGGAAGCAGGUCAAUAUUCCUGCACCAUUGUUAGAUGCGAUGGGGGGACGGAUCGCGGAAGGUUGUCCGGGUGUUGGAAGUCCCGGUCGCUGCAUUGGAGAAGGCGCUUAGGCAAAUCCGGGCGCGUAAUUCAAGGGUGUGGCGCGAGCUCC